rnacentral:rRNA from 1 species
UCGAGAAUUUUUCACAAUGGGCGAAAGCCUGAUGGAGCGACGCCGCGUGGGGGAUGAAUGGCUUCGGCCCGUAAACCCCUGUCAUUCGCGAGCAAACGUUAUUAUUUAAAAGAUGAUAGCCUGAUAGUAGCGAAAGAGGAAGGGACGGCUAACUCUGUGCCAGCAGCCGCGGUAAUACAGAGGUCCCAAGCGUUGUUCGGAUUUACUGGGCGUAAAGGGUGCGUAGGUGGUGGGGUAAGUCGGAUGUGAAAUCUCCGAGCUCAACUCGGAAAGUGCAUUGGAAACUACCCUGCUCGAGGGUUGAGGGGGACUGGAAUACUUGGUGUAGCAGUGAAAUGCGUAGAUAUCAAGUGGAACACCAGUGGCGAAGGCGAGUCCCUGGACAACUCCUGACACUGAG